CUGCCGCGAUAAUUUCACCUGGCUACUCGGAUCUUCGACACGUGACGCUGCUAUCAGCUAACCGGACAAGCCAUAUAAAGCACUCUUCCGUGACCUUCCACUGGGGCACAGCACCGAUUCUGCGAUGGAACACUCACCCUUGCUGUUGUUCAAGGUGGUCCUCUUGCUUGGCGCGGCUAACAAUUUAUCGAGCACGGAGCCACGCUGCCCAAAUGCAGACAGUCCCGACGAUCGGCCACCGAUGCUGGUUUUGGACUGCCGCGAUAAUUUCACCUGGCCACUCGGACCUUCGACACGUGAUGCUGCUAUCAGCAAAACGGACAAGCUAUAUAAAGCACUUUUCCGUGAUCUUCCGCCGGGGCACAGAACCGAUUCUGCGAUGAAACACUCACCCUUGCUGUUGUUCAAGGUGGUCCUCUUGCUUCGCGCGGCUAAGAAUUUAUCGAGCACGGAGCCAUGCUGCCCAAAUGCAGACAGUCCCGACGAUAGGCCACCGAUGCUGCUUUUGGACUGCCGCGAUAAUUUCACGUGCCACUCUGAUCUUCGACACGUGAUGCUGCUAUCAGCAAAACGGACAAGCCAUAUAAAGCACUCUUCCGUGACUUUCCGCCGGGGCACAGCACCUAUUCUGCGAUGGAACACUCACCCUUUCUGUUGUUCAAGGUUGGUUAUUUAGACCACUCUUAGUGCUAUGUCACGAGCGAUGAUCGCUUCCUAGUUGUGGUGUUGUGACCCAAAAAAUGGAUAUUUGCAUUGACGAAUUGCAGACAGAGUGUCGCUGCAUUUGUUGGUGAUAUGCUUUUACUGCUAUCCAGGGAUCUCAUGUCAAAUCCUGGGCCUAAUGCUGGCAAGUUUCUAGCGACUGUCCUAGCGACCGUUCAAAGAAUUGAAUCAGGGCAAGACAGCAUUCGGAAGGAUCUUCAAGCCUUGAAAAGCUGACAAGCAUCUGUAGACGUAGAGCUAAAGCAGUUGGCAGCCCGACUUCGUGCACUCGAGAUUGACACCUAAACAAUAAAAAAGAGCCAAU